UCCAGGACCGCAGGCCGCUGGGCGGGGCCUGACUGUUUCCGUGGCCACCUCUGGGAGUUGUAGUUUCUGUUGAUUCGCAGCGCCUGAGUCCACGCCGCUGUCACCACCAAAGGGUGUGCAUAUUUGCACAAGCAAACUGAAGUGUGCAAAAUCCUCUUGAAAUAUUCUUUCACCUUAACCUGUACUGAGCCUCAGUGUAGAAAUACAUUCUGAGCUGAACAUGGAAACGUCAGGAUCUUUGGAAAGAGCACUAGAAGCCAUCCUCUGAGGUAAGGAUUCUUGGAUAACCCUAAACUGUAUCUGCCUGUUGGACCACAGGUACUGUGUUUAUUUAGGAGGCCUUGAAUGUUACCGGUUGAAGAUCUGAACUGCUGGGGAAGCCUUGGAAUAAAAUUUCAAGCCCUUUUGA